rnacentral:tRNA from 1 species
GCGCGGGUAGCUCAGUGGUAGAGCGUUCGAUUGCAGCUCGAAGGGUCACUGGUUUAAUCCCGGUCCCGCGCU